GUCAUGGGGCCGCAAGGCACCGGCGCACGGCUCAGUAACACGCGGAUAAUCUAUCCUCUGGUGAGGGAUAACCUCGGGAAACUGAGGCUAAUACCUCAUAGACAUUCAAUUCUGGAAAGAUUGAAUGUUGAAAGCGCAAGUGCCAGAGGGUGAGUCUGCGGCCUAUCAGGUAGUAGGUGGUGUAAUGGACCACCUAGCCUAAGACGGGUACGGGCCUUGAGAGAGGGAGCCCGGAGAUGGGUUCUGAGACACGAACCCAGGCCCUACGGGGCGCAGCAGGCGCGAAACCUUCGCACUGCGCGAAAGCGCGACGAGGGGAGACCGAGUGCCUCUCCUUUUUGGGGAGGCUUUUCGCAAGCCUAAAAAGCUUGUGGAAUAAGGGCUGGGCAAGACGGGUGCCAGCCGCCGCGGUAAUACCCGCAGCUCAAGUGGUGGUCGCUUUUAUUGAGCCUAAAACGUUCGUAGUCGGCCUUGUAAAUCCCUGGGUAAAUCGGGGCGCUUAACGUUUCGAAUUCCGGGGAG
rnacentral:rRNA from 1 species